rnacentral:rRNA from 1 species
UACGUAGGGACCGAGCGUUGUCCGGAAUCAUUGGGCGUAAAGAGCGUGUAGGCGGCUAUUUAAGUCCUGCGUGAAAUCCUGCGGCUCAACCGCAGACGGUCGUGGGAAACUGGAUGGCUAGAGUGCGGGAGAGGAGAGUGGAAUUCCCGGUGUAGCGGUGAAAUGCGCAGAUAUCGGGAAGAACACCCGUGGCGAAGGCGGCUCUCUGGAACGCAACUGACACUGAGGAACGAAAGCCAGGGGAGCAAACGGG